rnacentral:rRNA from 1 species
GUGAAUCAUCGAAUCUUUGAACGCAAUUGCACUCGUCUGGUAUUCCUGGGAGUAUGCCUGUUUGAGGGUCGGUAUAAUAAUAAUAUCGAUGUGUUGCUUUGUGACAUUUCAGAUUUGGGUUAUCUUAAUUCUUUAAAGAGACCUGAAAUUGAUGUUUCUUGCAUCUUUUAGACGUGUAAUUUUUUUAUGUCGUCCUUUGAUGUCAAGUUUUAUUAGGUGUGAUCAUGUCAUUGAACUCGCGCCUAUAAGAUUCGCUUUUCGACCUCAAAUCAGGUAAGAAACCCGCUGAACUUAAGCAUAUCAAUAAGCGGAGG